AGAACUUGCUCCAAAUCAAAAUCAAUUAAAAAUUACUUGAUAUUUAAGAAAAAUGAAGGGGAAGGCUCUUAUGAAUUUUUCAAGAUUUGUUGUUGCUUUGUUGCUAAUCAUCAUGGGUAAUGGUCCAUUUUUUUUAAAAAUUAUCUCUCUCUAGCCCCUGUUUUCACUUAAUAAGGCAUUGCUUGAUAAAGUUUUUCUUUUUUAAAUAUUCAUCGUUAAAAAAAGUAGCUAUAGAAUUUUACUGUUUCGUUAUAUUUCAAUGAUUGAUUUCAGUUCUUUUUUUUUUUUUUUAAUAAUUUUCCAUGUUGCUAAUCAUCAUUAGAUUGUCCACCUUUCAAUUUGUACUCUAUCUAAACCUAGUUGUCCCAAUAUAAUUCAUUGUUUAGUAUUCUUUAAUAAUUCGUAAUCUAAAUAGAAGUGAUAAAUUUUUGCUAUAUAUGUGAAGUGAUAAUAUGAUAAUUUGCCGUUAUAUAUAUAAACCUUUUUUUUUCUUGACUUGAAAUUAUUAUCCGAUUAAGUUUGAACGGAUUGAACAGAUUGUAUGUAUGUGUUGUUUCCCCUCCUUUUCGAUCCGGCCGUAGUGCAGCGCCUGAAUUUGAAGCUACGAUCAGAUCCGAUUGGAUCUGAUCCUAUCCGACCCAACCCCGGAUUUGGACGGUAGAAUGGGGAGAAGGGCAGGGGCGGCUCAAGCGUAUUGGUGACCUAAUGCGAAAAUCAGAUAGAGGCCUUAAUUUUUUUUUUUUAAAAAUAAUUUUUUUUGCUAACUCUAUUUUUAAAAUUAUAUAAUCGAUUUUUUCUAAUUAUUAUUUUUAAGUAAUAAUAUAAUUAAUGCAUUUAAUCUUUCUUGAGACAUAAUACUCUAGAUAUAUGAUCUUCUAAUAAUUCUUUCCUUUUUUAUAAAAAAAUAUUUUUUUAAUAAAUAAUGGAGUAUUUAUUUUUUCUUAAAAAUAUCUAUAAUAUAUUAUCGUGAAAAAUGAGGCCCUCAAAUUUGGGGGCCUAAGGCAACCGCCUAUUUUUUUCUAAGGUAAAGCCGCCCCUGGAGAAGGGAAGUCGUGCCCAUUUUCUAUUCGGGCACGGGUAAGAACAUCCAAAAAAAUAAAAAAAGUGAAUACAUGUACAUGAUAUAACGACAUACUCCAAAAACGUGACCCAAACUAUUAGCAUGCUUAAUUUUUUUUUUUUUUUAAAAUCCUCUGAAAAAUUCUGCGUUUAUCACUGUGUGAAGUAAUGAUUGUUUGGAUAUUUUUAUAUAUGCAGUUGCAAAUAAUUCAUCUGUCAAGGUGACUGCUAUUCCUAAGCCUCACUGUGAUAAAGCCAAGGACUGUGAUGAAGUUUGUAAACAUGCGCCAGCGAUUUGUGUUUCACACAUUUGUGUGUGUCUUAAACGAGACGAAUAUUAUGCACAUACGGAGAAGAGCAAAUUAAAUAUGAACUGAUGGAGGCAUAAAGUUCAGAAAAAAAAUAAAUUAUGUAUUUAUUUAUAUUUCAUUGUAUUCCUUCUAUCAUUAGUUGGAAAGUUUGGAAAACAAGAUUUUGUAUGAGAUAUGAAAGUUUUUUAUCCAAUUGAAG
rnacentral:lncRNA from 1 species